rnacentral:misc_RNA from 1 species
CGCACCUUGCGCUCUUUGGUAUUCCGAAGAGCAUGCCUGUUUGAGUGUCAUGGUAUCAUCAACCUUCAACACUUUUGUGAUUGAAGGCUUGGAUUUGGAGGUUGUGUCGGUGCAUUCGUAUCGACUCCUCUGAAAUGUAUUAGCGUGAAUCUUACGGAUCGCCUUCGGUGUGAUAAUUACUGCGCCGUGGACGUGAAGUAUAACAGUGUUCGUGCUUACAAUCGUCUUUAACAGAGACAACACUUUGACAAUCUGACCUCAAAUCAGGUAGGAUUACCCGCUGAACUUAA